UUGUUCUUUGUAAAUCCACGGGGAUAGUAUUUCUUUAGCUUUGUUUAUAUAUUUGCUGCACGACCCCUGGACGGAGCUACAUACACUAGGGAGCUGUUGAUAAUUUUCGUUUAGAACGUCACAAUAUGUAUUUGAGCAGUUACCUAAUUAUCCUCUUGUGUAUCCUCGUCUAGUAUCAAUAAGCUUAUUUUUUGUUGAUUAUCAUCACUUGGUUUUGAUGUUAUUAUCUUAACAUUUGUUGAUAUGCAACAUCCAGCUGCUUUAGUUUACUCUAAUGGAGGUAACCGCUUAAGCCGUGAAGCAGGUAUGUAAUGCUUCCUUCCCAUUUUAUUAUUGAAAAUUUGCACCCCUCCCCCCUUUUCUUUUAGAGUAUAUUCUUUCAGAUUUAGUUGUUUUUAAUAGUCUUCAGUUUAAUUAUUCGUCAUUCUAAUAUUUUUUGCGUAAUAACCAAGUGGUCUGAUGCACCGGAGUUGAUCUGUCCAUACUUGGUUAAAAGAUUUUAAAAGUCCUGGU
rnacentral:lncRNA from 1 species